GACGGAGGGUGCUAUCGUUGUUCGGAAUUACUGGGCGUAAAGGGCGCGUAGGCGGCUCUGUAAGUCAGAUGUGAAAUCCCCGGGCUCAACCUGGGAACUGCAUCUGAUACUGGCAAGCUUGAGUCUCGUAGAGGGGGGUAGAAUUCCGGGUGUAGCGGUGAAAUGCGUAGAGAUCUGGAGGAAUACCGGUGGCGAAGGCGGCCCCCUGGACGAAGACUGACGCUCAGGUGCGAAAGCGUGGGGAGCAAACAGG
rnacentral:rRNA from 1 species